UGAUUAUUUUGGAAUAACAGGGACGGUACUCUUGUACUGCAAUGGUCUAAAUCUGAUCGAUCGCUAUUUAUUAAGGUCAAAGGUGCGAAUUCUACCGCGGUAAGAUAUCUUAAUGUGGGCGUUCCUCAGGGUUCGAACUUGGGUCUUCUGCUAUACCUAAUGUACACUUCGCCACUUGCAAAGAUCAUAAGAAGCUUUGACCUUGACUAUCAUCUUUAUGCCGAUGAUACACAACUUUAUAUUGCGUUAAAGACAACAGAUGGCAGAUGCUAAUAAAGGCGCUAAUUACAUGUUGAAUUGAAAAUUGUGUGGCUGCUAUACGUAACUGGAUGAUCUCAAAUGAACUGAAACUAAAUCAAGGCAAGACAGAAAUCAUGUUAACCGAGACGAAGGAGACAAUUGCAAUGCAUGCGCUUAUAUUAUCAAAAUUUGAUUAUUGCAAUUCCGCUUUCUUUUCAUGAGUAGGAUAUGUGCGUUUUAGAAAUAAAUCAGUUCUUCUUCUUCUUCUUCUUCUUCUUCUUCUUCUUAUUAUUAUUAUUAUUAUAAUUAUAAACCUUAAACCUCUACACCCAAAAAAACAAACUUCUUCUAUACAACCGUUACGUCCUAUCCAAAAUAUCCUGGCAUCUCACUGUUGCACCUCUGUCGAAAACCUGGGUAACGGAAACAAUCGAUUCUGUGAUUAAUCAAUACAUCAGAAAGUGGCUUGAAAUACCCAUUUCUGGAAAAAUAAGUAAUAUUUAUCUAACCCAUAACAAAUUUGGUCUGAAUAUCCUCCCUGCAUCCGUCAAAUUUAUCCAAUGUCAAACUGUCCUACGCGAUGCCUUAAAAACAUCCCCAAAUGAUCCCAUAAAAGAACUCUGGAAAUCAACUAACAAUGACACUAAUUUUCAAUAUGACAUAUAUAAUUCAACAAAGGAAGUUCUUAAGGAUAUUCAUUCUGGACAAGAAGACAAGCUUCAGCACCGCUUAAUUUGUCAAGGUUCAUUUUUCUCAAAUGUGGCUAAGUUUUCCCUUUCACAGUUAAACACACUUUGGUCUGCGGCUCAAUCAAAACUGCCAAAGAACAUUUUCAACUUCACCGUCCGUUACAUAAAUAGCUCUCUUCCUACGCGAAAAAAUCUUACAAGAUGGGGUUUAGCUUCAAGUCCCGAAUGUUCCUUUUGCUUGUGUCCUAAAGCCCUACUACAUGUGGUAGCCGGCUGCCAAUCGUACCUCCAGCGCUUUACUUGGAGACAUGAUUCUAUUUUAAACUUUCUCGCUGAAACGUUUCAAACAAUAAAUCCAUGUCGACUUUAUGCUGACCUACCUGGCUACAAAAGCCCGUCAAUUAUAACUGGUGACAUAUAUCGACCGGACUUACUCCUAAUUACUCCAAAUGAAGAUCUUUAUGUCGUUGAACUUACUGUCGGGUUUGAAUCUAACCUACAUAAUAACGUUGAACGCAAAAAAGCUAAAUAUAAAGACCUAAUUGAAGAUCAAAGGAGUCAAUUUAGUUCUGUUAAAUUUGUAAAUUCAUCAUUGAGCUCUCUCGGUGUGUUUGACAAAGAAUGCUUCACCUUUUUAGAAAUGUUAGACACUAUAUGAAUGGAUAGAAAGCUGCAUAAAAAAGAUGACGUCUUAUGCCAUUAGAGCGACGUACUAUAUUUUUUGCUGUCGUAACAAAGAGUGGACAAACCCUGAAUUGUUAAACAUUUAAAUUAAUAACUACAUAUAAU
rnacentral:lncRNA from 1 species